rnacentral:rRNA from 1 species
AUUGAACGCUAGCGGGAUGCCUUACACAUGCAAGUCGAACGAGUGGCGGACGGGAGAGACACAUAUCGGAACGUGCCCAGUAGCGGGGGUUAACUACGGAAAAGAGUGGCUAAUCCCGCUUACUAUUGGAGCGGCCGAAAUGGGAUUGGCUAGAUGGGGGGGUAAAGGCUCACCAAGGCACCGAUCCGUAGUUGGUUUGAGAGGACGACCAGCCACACUGGGACUGAGACACGGCCCAGACUCCUACGGGAGGCAGCAGUGGGGAAUGUUGGACAAUGGGUGAAACCCUGAUCCAGCCAUCCCGCGUGUAUGAGAAGGCCUUCGGGUUGUAAAGUACUUUUGGCAGAGAAGCGGUAUCUGCAGAAUAAGCACCGGCUAACUACGUGCCAGCAGCCGCGGUAAUUC